GCCGCCGUGAUGAGCAGCCGCAUGGCCGCGC
rnacentral:sRNA from 1 species